UUCAGUCAUACAAAGCUAGCUGAAGUGUUCAUACUUGUCAGCUGAAGAAGUCCACGAUCCUCAUCCAUCCAAGCCACCCCAUUUUUCUUUUAUAACCUACACCAUUCUUCACCCAAACCUCACCACUUCACCAUUUCUAAAUUCUGCAGUCUCAAUUUCACACAGCAAGUUAAGAAAUAAAUAUCUUCCACCACACCUAUUCAAGGUUGAGCGGGUGAUGGAAUGGAGUGGAGUUGAGCGGAUGUACCUUUUGACAUAAAAUAAUAAUGUACCCUUGAGACGUAGAACAGUAAUGUAACCUUGAGUAUACAUCUUCAUAUGUAUAACUCACACGUAUUUCCGCUGCAAGAUACUCUGAUUAUGCUAAUGUUUUAUUUUAAGUAUGAUACUCUUUUGUUGGGUAAUCCACUUCGACGGGCCUUCCCGAACAAACGUCUUGUAUUUGCCCAAGUGAUCAGUUAUGAUCCUAGUGUUAUAUAAUAAAUGUCUCUUUUCGUAAAAUGUUUGAUUGUUAAGUAAAUGCCCCUUUCUUUCCCCGCUUCUUAAUCCCCUUCCCGAGUCAUAACCCCGGUUAAACCA